rnacentral:rRNA from 1 species
UGGGGAAUAUUGGACAAUGGGCGAAAGCCUGAUCCAGCAAUGCCGCGUGAGUGAUGAAGGCCUUAGGGUUGUAAAGCUCUUUCACCGGGGAAGACGAUGACGGUACCCGGAGAAGAAGCCCCGGCUAACUUCGUGCCAGCAGCCGCGGUAAUACGAAGGGGGCUAGCGUUGUUCGGAAUUACUGGGCGUAAAGCGCGCGUAGGCGGUCUGCCAAGUCGGGGGUGAAAGCCCGGGGCUCAACCCCGGAACUGCCUCCGAGACUGGCAAGCUAGAGUAUGGAAGAGGGUCGUGGAAUUCCCAGUGUAGAGGUGAAAUUCGUAGAUAUUGGGAAGAACACCGGUGGCGAAGGCGGCGACCUGGUCCAUAACUGACGCUGAGGCGCGACAGCGUGGGGAGCAAACAGG